UUCCAUUGCAUCCUUUGUCCAGUCCCCCAUCAGGAAAACAACCAACAGUCUCACAACGGCUUCUGGCCUCAGAAUAGAAUAGCCUGCUCUUCCUCUCUUCCCAUAAUGUCCACAAGAUCACCGAGAUGAGCACGUCCAAGGCUCUGAAUUUUGCGAUUUUCCUGUGUUUCUGUCUCCACCCAUGCCACAAUUCAUCUAUGUCAUGUGGAAGCUCAAAUAUUUGGCAUUUGCAUGGCAGCAUGUUCCACACCUCCAUAGAAUAGGUGCACUGGAGCAUUAUAUGGUCAGUUGAUUCACUAGCAUUGUAACAUAAGGAACAUCUACGAGGUCCAUUGAAUCCUUUUUUUUCCAAAACAACAGCUAUAAGGAUCUUCCGAUUGUAGCAUAACCAGUUGAAUAAUUUACACU
rnacentral:lncRNA from 1 species